rfam:Cavia porcellus supercont2_68 genomic scaffold, whole genome shotgun sequence.
AUCCCCAGCCAUAGCACCCUGAAUGCACGCUAUCUCCUCUGAUCUUGGAAGCUAAGCAGGGUCGGGCCUGCUUAGUGCUGGGAUGGGAGAAU